rnacentral:rRNA from 1 species
ACACAUGCAAGUCGGACGGAAACGAUAGAAAAACUUGUUUUUCUAGGCGUCGAGUGGCGGACGGGUGAGUAACGCGUGGGAAUCUACCCUGUAGUUGGGGACAACAUAUGGAAACGUAUGCUAAUACCGAAUAUGCUCUACGGAGUAAAGGAGCCCUCUUCUUGAAAGGUGUCGCUAUAGGAUGAGCCCGGCGUGAGAUUAGCUAGUUGGUAAGGUAAUGGCUUACCAAGGCGACGAUCUCUAGCUGGUUUGAGAGGAUGAUCAGCCACACUGGGACUGAGACACGGCCCAGACUCCUACGGGAGGCAGCAGUGGGGAAUAUUGCACAAUGAGCGAAAGCUUGAUGCAGCCAUACCGCGUGUGUGAAGAAGGCCCGAGGGUUGUAAAGCACUUUCAAUUGUGAGGAAGGUAGUGUAGUUAAUACCUGCAUUGCUUGACGUUAACUUUAGAAGAAGCACCGGCUAACUCUGUGCCAGCAGCCGCGGUAAUACAGAGGGUGCAAGCGUUAUUCGGAAUU